UACAGAGGGGGCAAGCGUUGUUCGGAAUUACUGGGCGUAAAGGGCGCGUAGGCGGCCUUCUAAGUCGAACGUGAAAUCCCCGGGCUCAACCCGGGAACUGCGUCCGAUACUGGAAGGCUUGAAUCCGGGAGAGGGAUGUGGAAUUCCAGGUGUAGCGGUGAAAUGCGUAGAUAUCUGGAGGAACACCGGUGGCGAAGGCGACAUCCUGGACCGGUAUUGACGCUGAGGCGCGAAAGCCAGGGGAGCAA
rnacentral:rRNA from 1 species